GACGUAGGGCGCGAGCGUUGUCCGGAUUUAUUGGGCGUAAAGAGCUCGUAGGCGGCUUGUCGCGUCGACUGUGAAAUCCCGCGGCUCAACUGCGGGUCUGCAGCCGAUACGGGCAGGCUAGAGUUCGGUAGGGGAGACUGGAAUUCCUGGUGUAGCGGUGAAAUGUGCAGAUAUCAGGAGGAACACCGGUGGCGAAGGCGGGUCUCUGGGCCGAUACUGACGCUGAGGAGCGAAAGCGUGGGGGAGCGAACAGG
rnacentral:rRNA from 1 species